rnacentral:lncRNA from 1 species
AAAUAUAAAUUAAUCUUAAAAAAAAAAACAAAAAACAAAGAAAAUAAGUUAUAAAAUAUUUGUCUUCGUUUUCCCUUCACCCACCAGUGCCACCUGUCCCAAACCCAUCCCAGCCAAAAAUUCCGUCAGCCAUCGGCCGCCGGCAGCAAAUCAUCUCCACCUCCACUCCUUCCCCACCUUGAUUCCACCUCUAAACUAAUUUCAAUCCGUUGCCGUCACCUACCUCGUUUCAUCCUUAGUCCGCCGACCGAGUCUUUGACCAUCGAAAUAAAAAAGAUCUCCUCAAUUUUUCUUUUUUAAGAAAUCACCAUCUCCGCCUAUGCUCCCCUCCGUCGUGAAAGAUCCCAGCUACUUUUGGGUAUUUUUAUUUUUUAUGAUGUAAGUAUAAUAUAUAAGUAGAAUUUAAAUUGAUAAUUGAAAUAGAAAUUGGGGAAGGAAAUUAGAGAAGAAGAAACUUGGGGAAGAAGAUGAAUACAAAGAUAAGAGAGAUUCUGAAGAUGAUGAAGAUAAAGUGAACUAGGUUUUUGCUGGGAAUUCGGGCGGGCGAUUACUGUUGGUAGUGAGAUGGGUUUUUGGAAGACGAUGAGGAAGAAAACAAUUUAAAAAUCAAAAGAGGAUGACUGGUUUUGGCUUGGGUUGGGGGCUGGUGCGUUACAGCUUUUCUUUCUUUUUCUUUUUUUUUUUUUGUCUUUUUUUUUUUUAUAUCUUUAAUUUAUUUAAUCGAUUAAUUUAUAUUUAGUAUGUAUGAUGUAUGUGAAUGGACAAAUUUAUCCCUGCAAAUCUCACGUGCACUGCACAUGUUUUAGAAUUCCGGUCAAAAUUGCCGGAAAAUUGAGUUCAGGGGGCACCGUGCAACGAAUUAACGAGUUCAGGUAAAAACGUGCAUUUUUUUUUUUUUGGGG